rnacentral:sRNA from 12 species
GCCUUAUAAAGAUGUAUGAACGCAAGACAGUUUGGCAUCUCCCUUUAGGGCAUUGUUCAAUUAGAAACUUCAAUGACAAGUCUUAUUGUAAUGCAUUAGUUGAAAUGAGAUGAAUUGAAGUGGAAUAGGUUAACCGUUAGACCUUGAAUUGAAAAAUUCUAAAAUUGAUCUCAAAAGAUAUGAUUAUUACCUUUUAGUAUUUUUGAGUAACGGUGAC